rnacentral:rRNA from 1 species
ACGCUCGACACCUACGGGAGCAGCAGUGGGGAAUAUUGGGCAAUGGGCGCAAGCCUGACCCAGCAACGCCGCGUGAAGGAAGAAGGCCCUCGGGUUGUAAACUUCUUUUGACAGGGACGAAACAAAUGACGGUACCUGUCGAAUAAGCCACGGCUAACUACGUGCCAACAGCCGCGGUAAUCUGAGCGGGCUGGCAAGGC